AUGUUCAUGAAAAUGCAUCUGAAAGAGAAGGUAGUUCCGGUUCCGACGUGCGGAUCUUCAUUCCUGGUGUUCAGUUGUCGCGGUUGGUGGGCAGUAAGUGAGAUAAGACGCUGCGGAGUGUGCUGGCGCUUUGUCAGACUGCCCGGAGGACCAUAAGUACUGCUUCACGCAGGCAGUUUGAAAAUAAAGUUCCAGAGAAACAAAAGCACUUUCAGAAGGAUAAUGAAAUUCCAGUGCAUCUAAAGUGUGGGAUAGCUGAUACCCUCCUGUAUAGAGCCAUCAUGAUUCUUACAGUUGGUGGAACAGCGUAUGCCAUAUAUCAGCUGGCUGUGGCUUCAUUUCCCAAGAAGCAGGAUUGAUUUCAGUUUAUCCUCCCAGCAAUCAGUUGGUUCAACUCCAUUCAGCUCUCUGUGGACCAGUAUCUGAUAACUGACUGAGUUCUUCUUUGGGGAUCAAUAUUUAUUGACCUGUACUACCUGCCACCAGUAAAGCAGUC